UACGAAGGGGGCUAGCGUUGCUCGGAAUCACUGGGCGUAAAGCGCACGUAGGCGGACUCUUAAGUCGGUGGUGAAAUCCUGGAGCUCAACUCCAGAACUGCCUUCGAUACUGAGAGUCUUGAGUCCGGGAGAGGUGAGUGGAAUUCCGAGUGUAGAGGUGAAAUUCGUAGAUAUUCGGAGGAACACCAGUGGCGAAGGCGGCUCACUGGUCCGGUACUGACGCUGAGGUGCGAAAGCGUGGGGAGCAAACAGG
rnacentral:rRNA from 1 species